GGCAGCAGUGGGGAAUCUUCCGCAAUGGGCGCAAGCCUGACGGAGCAACGCCGCGUGAGUGAAGAAGGCCUUCGGGUUGUAAAACUCUGUCAUCAGGGAAGAAGAAAGUGACGGUACCUGAGGAGGAAGCCCCGGCUAACUACGUGCCAGCAGCCGCGGUAAAACGUAGGGGGCGAGCGUUGUCCGGAAUUACUGGGCGUAAAGGGCGCGUAGGCGGUUAUCCAAGUCAGGGGUGAAAACCUUGGGCUCAACUCAGGGCCUGCCUCUGAAACUGGGUAACUUGAGGGCAGGAGAGGGGAGUGGAAUUCCCAGUGUAGCGGUGAAAUGCGUAGAUAUUGGGAGGAACACCAGUGGCGAAGGCGGCUCUCUGGCUUAACCCUGACGCUGAGGCGCGAAAGCGUGGGGAUCAAACAGGAUUAGAUACCCUGGUAGUCCACGCCGUAAACGAUGAGUGCUAAGUGU
rnacentral:rRNA from 1 species